rnacentral:rRNA from 1 species
CUCCUAAGGGAGGAGCGUGAGGAUAUUGGUCAAUGGGCGAGAGCUGAACCAGCCAAGUAGCGUGUGGGACGAAUGCCCUAUGGGUUGUAAACCACUUUUGCAGGAGGGUAAAAUGCUUCACGUGUGGAGUAUUGCAAGUAUCCUGCGAAUAAGGACCGGCUAAUUCCGUGCCAGCAGCCGCGGUAAUACGGAAGGUCCGGGCGUUAUCCGGAUUUAUUGGGUUUAAAGGGAGCGUAGGCGGGGAGUCAAGUCAGUUGUGAAAAGCCGCGGCCCAACCGUGGUCGUGCAGUUGAAACUGGUUCUCUUGAGUGCGCACGAGGACGGUGGAAUUCGUGGUGUAGCGGUGAAAUGCUUAGAUAUCACGAAGAACUCCGAUUGCGAAGGCAGCCGUCCGGAGCGUUACUGACGCUGAGGCUCGAAGGUGCGGGUAUCAAACAGGAUUAGAUACCCUGGUAGUCCGCACAGUAAACGAUGGAUGCCGGCUGUCGGCGACAGAAUGUCGGUGGCCACGCGAAAGUUUUAAGCAUCCCACCUGGGGAGUACGCCGGCAACGGUGAAACUCAAAGGAAUUGACGGGGGCCCGCACAAGCGGAGGAACAUGUGGUUUAAUUCGAUGAUACGCGAGGAACCUUACCCGGGCUUGAAUUGCAGAUGAUGUUUCAAGAGAUUGGAAUUUCCUUCGGGACAUCUGUGAAGGUGCUGCAUGGUUGUCGUCAGCUCGUGCCGUGAGGUGUCGGCUUAAGUGCCAUAACGAGCGCAACCCUUUCCCUCGGUUGCCAUCAGGUAAUGCUGGGCACUCCGUGGGUACUGCCAUCGCAAGAUGUGAGGAAGGCGGGGAUGACGUCAAAUCAGCACGGCCCUUACGUCCGGGGCUACACACGUGUUACAAUGGAGGCUACAGAAGGCAGCGGAUUGGCGACAGUUCGCGAAUCUAUAAAGGUCUCCCCAGUUCGGAUUGGAGUCUGCAACCCGACUCCAUGAAGCUGGAUUCGCUAGUAAUCGCGCAUCAGCCAUGGCGCGGUGAAUACGUUCCCGGGCCUUGUACACACCGC